GCAAGUCGAACGAGAGGGCCAAGAGAGAGAAGAAAUGGAAAGUGCUUGCACUGGAAAUGGAAAGCUUUCGAAUUGGAAUUUCCUCGAGUGGCAAACGGGUGAGUAACACGUGGGUUACCUACCUCUAUGAUGGGGAUAACAGUUGGAAACGAUUGCUAAUACCGAAUGUGCUCUACGGAGUAAAGAAGCCCUUAAAGCUUCGCAUAGAGAUGGGCCUGCGGUGCAUUAGCUAGUUGGUGGGGUAAUGGCCUACCAAGGCAGCGAUGCAUAGCCGAGCUGAGAGGUUGAUCGGCCACACUGGGACUGAGACACGGCCCAGACUCCUACGGGAGACAGCAGUUAGGAAUAUUCGUCAAUGGGGGAAACCCUGAACGAGCAAUGCCGCGUGUGCGAAGAAGGCCCUAUGGGUUGUAAAGCACUGUUGUUUGGAACGAAAACUUAUGAUAGGAAAUGAUCAUAAACUGACGGUACCAUUCAAGAAAGCCACGGCUAACUACGUG
rnacentral:rRNA from 1 species